GACGAACGCUGGCGGCGUGCCUAAUACAUGCAAGUAGAACGCUGAAGGAGGAGCUUGCUUCUCUGGAUGAGUUGCGAACGGGUGAGUAACGCGUAGGUAACCUGCCUGGUAGCGGGGGAUAACUAUUGGAAACGAUAGCUAAUACCGCAUAAUAGUAGAUGCUGCAUGACAUUUGCUUAAAAGGUGCAAUUGCAUCACUACCAGAUGGACCUGCGUUGUAUUAGCUAGUUGGUGGGGUAACGGCUCACCAAGGCGACGAUACAUAGCCGACCUGAGAGGGUGAUCGGCCGCACUGGGACUGAGACACGGCCCAGACUCCUACGGGAGGCAGCAGUAUGGAAUCUUCGGCAAUCGGCGGAAGUCUGACCGAGCAACGCCGCGUGAGUGAGGAAUGUUUUCGGAUCGUAAAGCUCUGUUGUAAGAGAAGAACGAGUGUGAGAGUGGAAAGUUCACACUGUGACGGUAUCUGACCAGAAAGGGACGGCUAACUACGUG
rnacentral:rRNA from 1 species